UGGUGGAGUGAUUUGUCUGGUUGAUUCCGUUAACGAACGAGAUCUCGACCCUUAAAUAGGCUGCCCUUCGUUUCGGUCUGUCUUCCUUCGGGAUAUAUGUCAGACUUAGAAGGUAAGCUACUUCUUAAGGGGACUGCGUGCGUCUUUAGUACGCGGAAGAGCGAGCCAAUAGCA
rnacentral:rRNA from 1 species